rnacentral:rRNA from 1 species
UACAGAGGGGGCAAGCGUUGUUCGGAAUUACUGGGCGUAAAGGGCGCGUAGGUGGCCUUCUAAGUUGAACGUGAAAUCCCUGGGCUCAACCCAGGAACUGCGUCCAAGACUGGGAGGCUUGAAUCCGGGAGAGGGAUGCGGAAUUCCAGGUGUAGCGGUGAAAUGCGUAGAUAUCUGGAGGAACACCGGUGGCGAAGGCGGCAUCCUGGACCGGUAUUGACACUGAGGCGCGAAAGCUAGGGGAGCGAACAGG